rnacentral:lncRNA from 1 species
CGCCGAACAUAGGGGUGUUUUGCAUGCACGUUAGGCCGCCGAAGGAGGUUUGGCUGGCCACCUAUAAAAGCCCCUCAGACCGAAAAUGGGCGAGUUUUCUCCCCAUUCUCGAGCUCAGGUGUGUUUAUGUCCUCCUUUGGUCAUUUUCAUGUUUUUUCUUCAUCCCCUUCAUAUUUUUAUGAGUUCCAUGGUUGUUUUGAAGAGUUUUCAAGCUUAGAUCAAAGUUUUGGGAGCUUGGAGACCCAAGGAGUAGUUUCCUCCCAUCUCCAAGUUAGAGCUCGCACAAACCCUCGAUCUUCAAGAGGUAAGUGUGGAUCUAUGCUUUUCUUUACGUUUCAUGAAGUUUUAAGUGAGUUUUAAGAGGUUUUGAUGAUUGAGUAUGGGUAGAUAUGCAUGUUAGGGUUUAUGUGGGUUUUAUGCCCAAUGUAUGUUCAUGUGAUGUUUGUGUUGGGGUUUAAGUUAGUUUUCAAGCCCCUUGAGCAUAUGGGAGAGAGUAUGCAUGAUUGGGAGAGAGUAUGUGAGGUUUGGUUUGUUUUAGUGGUUUUGGCUUAUGUGGGUCAUAAGCUCGUUAUGUAUGUUUCUUGAUGUUGUUUUUAGGAGUUUAAGCUUGUUUAAGCUCCUUUGUGCAUGGUUAAGGAAGAAUGCAUGUGUUUGAGAAAUUGGGUGCUUGUUUUGGGGUGUAUGGAAGGUUUGGGAGGCUUGAAAUGCACAAAGGCUGAGUUCUGGAUGAACUCAGGUUCGGCCGCCGAAGGUGGUUUCGGCCGCCGAACCUGCCUGAGGAUGCAUGGUUUGGCCGCCUAACCUUGCCCCCGAAAGUUGAGUUUUGGCUUGAAAGCAGACUUUCGGCCGCCGAAGGUGAAGUUCAGCCGCCGAAAGUGCCUGACUUUCGUCUCUGGAGAAGGACUUUCGGCCGCCGAAAGUGCCCGAGUUUCGCCUCUGGAGAGAGGGUUCGGCCGCCGAAGGUGCCGCCGAAAGUGCCCUGUCCAGCCUUUUCAUGAAUGUUUUCUAUGCAUGUUUAAGUGAUGCUUUAGGGGGUUUUUGGGUAGUUGUUUAUGAGUUGUUUAGAGCAUGUUUGGCACCUCACUAGUGUAACGACCCGGAAACCGGUACCCCUCAGUAACGGUCCGAACCAUCACUGGCACUAGGAUCCAGAUCGGCUUAAGGCCGCCGGGACCCGUAGCAAGCCGACUAUACUCUCUGUGUACCUGAUAAAUCCCAAACAUGCUACAAAUAGACUCAACAAUCCUGUAAAACUCUGUAGGCUUAAUUGCUGCUACUCAGAUAUGUCAAUCUGAAAUGGCCCUCAGGGCCUAUACCAGGGACUACUAUCUGCUGUGGGUCAUGGGAAUGAAACCCUUGUAAUCUGUAACACAUUCCACUGGUAUCUCAUCGAAGCCAUACAUUAAGCCUAACUCACACAUUUCUCAUCAAGAAACGUAAAACAGGAUUCAUGUACAGGGGAUUAAGCAUACAUCACGCAACAGCAAAAACACUAGGGAAAGCACAAGUCUAACCGUAUAUGACAGUACAGAUCUAUACAGUACUACAUUAAGCCUAACUCACACAUUUCUCAUCAAGAAACGUAAAACAGGAUUCAUGUACAGGGGAUUAAGCAUACAUCACGCAACAGCAAAAACACUAGGGAAAGCACAAGUCUAACCGUAUAUGACAGUACAGAUCUAUACAGUACAUGACAGUUAAUCUUUUAAUUACAUCAUGUCCACUACACUAUUACAGCAUACAUUCAAGCACAACUUUCCUCUGUACUCUUGCUGACUUUGAUUUCCCAUAGCUAUCUCAGGACCUGCAAAACUGGGGUAAGGGAGUGGGAUGAGCUCUAGAGCCCAGUGAGGAGGAACAAUACAACCAUUCAUUAAUUACAUGUUCGCAUGAAAUGCAUCACAUCACAAUCAUAUCAGCUCAAAGAUGAACUUGUCACCAGUAGCCCUCAACUACAUGUUAGAAUACCAAUAGUGCCAAGGAGACAAUGUCAUCACCUGGUCUACACUUAUCUCUCUGAUAUCAUAGCAUGACUAACUGUGCCAAGGAGACGAGGUCUCACCUGGUCUACACUUCACUCUGAUCUGACAGCCCAGCUGUCUCACUCAUAGUACCAGGAGCGACCUGGACUAUCCAGGGGCGACCUGGUAUGGCUAUCUCAUGCCAUAACUCUGUAUCUGCUCUCUGUCAAGGGCUAAGGAUCAUCCAACAUUCAUCCACAGGAACAACAACAUAUGCAAUGCAUCAUAUUCGUGAAGUCUAAUGCACACAACCUAAUAUAUAACAUGGCAGUUUAUGAUGUAUGGAUCAUGCUAGAAUUAUGUCAUUUCUUAAGAUCAAUAUUCAGUUUAGUUCCACUCACCUGUAGCCACUGCUUGGCUAACUCUGGGCUACCUCUAAUUCUGAAACAGCUACGACGACUGCUAAACACCUCGGUUCCUCGGGUCCAAUCCUACAAUGGAGGACGCAAAUGAGGCACCAAACAUACUCUAUGCCACUGAUCAACAAUUCCCUAAAACCCCUCUAGAACACCUCAAAACAUGCAUGCAAAACAAGCAAAGGAAGGCUGGACAGGGCACCUUCGGCGGCACCUUCGGCGGCCGAAUGUCUCCUCCAGAGACGAAAGUCAGGCAUGUUCGGCGGCCUAACUUGGACUUUCGGCGGCCGAACCUGAGUUCAUCCAGAACUCAGUUUCGUGCACAAGGACGCCUGCCAGUCCCUCCAUCACCUGCUCAGCCCUCAAUACAUGCAGUUAACCCCUCUAAAACAUGCAUAAACACUUUAACAAGCAUAAAGGAGCAUCAAACAACUUAAACGCCAACAAAACAAUACACAUAACAUGCGUACACCAUUAAAACAUCACAACUAUACCUAACACCUCUAUAAACCUAUAUAAACAACUCUACCCUUUACCUCCUUACAAGCUGUUCAUAAACCAUGAAAACAAGGUAAAAGCUUCCCUUACCUCUUGAAACCAGAUGCUGGGACACCCUAAACACUGAACUAUGGCCACCACGACUUCACCUUCACCACACCUCCAACACUCUUCUUUUCUCUCAAAACCUUUCAACCCACUUAGACACAACCAACCCUCUGCAUAAGCUGAUAAAAGCUUGCAGAUGAGUCAAGGGAGACGUGGCCUACCCUCUGGUCAUGAUCUGGAGGUGAACACCUGGCCAAACCACGGACUGAGGAGUGUGCACAACUAACCGACCACCUCAGCUUCGGCUGCCGAAACUGCAUGCAAAACCAUGCAACUUUCGGGGGCCGAACAUAACCUUCGGGGGCCGAACCUUGGGCACUUUCGGCGGCCGAACUUAACCUUCGGGGGCCGAACAUGACAAAAACUCCUUUGGCCAAUUCUCCACGAAACUCAACUCGGUUUCUACGCUAAACCUUACAACGUCUUAAAAACAUUUAGCAACUCUUUCUAAUACCGUACUAGAAGUCUCUGACAUCCCCGAAUUCCACCGGACGGUAGGAAUUCCAAUGUCUGACUUAGCCGGGUAUUACAACUAGAGUCCACCUGUGUAGGAUCGGACCCGAGGAACCGAGGUGUUUAGCAGUGUUAGUUGCUUCAGAGUUAGUCCAGAGCUAGCCAGAGGUGAGUGGAACUAACCCUCAUGUUUUAAAUCAAAUGUUUUCAGCAUGUUCAAGUAUGUUCAUGCAUCAUGAAUACCAUGUUAUGCAAUAGGUUGUUUGCAUUAGAAUUCACGAAUAUGAUGCAUUGCAUAAUACGAUGAUGAUGAUGUGGAUGGAUACUGGAUGAUCCUCUAGCCCUCAGUAUGUUAUGACAUGAUAUGAAAUGAUAUGAUAUGGCAUGUACGAUAUGAUAUGAGAUGAGAAGUCCAGGUGUGGCCGUAUCGCCCCUGGCAUAGAGUAUGAGAAGUCCAGGUGUGGCCGUAUCGCCCCUGGCAUAGAGUAUGUGGAGUCCAGGCGUGGCCGUAUCGCCCCUGGCAUAGAGUAUUGUUGACUUGUUAUGGUACGAGAUUGAUAUGUAGAGGGCUAUGGGUGACAGAUUCAUCCUUGAGGUGAUAUAUUUGUGAUGUGACGCAUUCCAUGAUAGCAUACGUUAAAAUGAACUGUUUUCUUUUAUGGUUUCUGCUCACUGGGCUUUUUAGCUCACCCCUCUCCCCUAACCCCAGGCUUGCAGGGUCAGAGGUAGUUCAGGAAGACGACAAGAUAUGGUUAUGGUUAUGACAUGUAAUAGAAUAGUAGUGGACAUGAUGUAAUGUAAGGUUAUGUAUUGAUGUAAAAAGAGUUGUAUUGCAUAAUGAUAUUAUGUUAUAUGUUCAGAGUUAUAGUAUUGUGCUUGGCCCGAGUUGGUUAAUCCCUUUGUACAUGAGUUUUAUGUUAUGUUGAUAUAUGUGUUAGACCGAGUUUGACAUAGGGUAUGCUGACCCUAGGGGUUCUAUGAGUUCAGUCAUAGUGCAUACACAGGUCAAACUGGUUAAAGGUCAAGUUUUAAAUGUUUUAUGGUUAUGUUUGAUCAUGUUUGGGAUUAUACUAACUGUACAGGAUGUAUGUUAGGCUUGCUACGGGUCCCGGCGACCUUAAAUCGACCUGGAUCCUAGCGCCGGUAGUGGUCCGGAUUUCCAGGUCGUUACA